UACUAUGCCUAACCUUAACAAAACAAUUAAAUAAUCAAUUGUUCGCCAAAUAACUACGAGUGCAAACUUAAAAUUUAAAAGACUUGACGGUGCUUCACAACAACCUAGAGGAGCCUGUCUAAUAACCGAUACUCCACGAUUAACCCAACCCACUCUAGCCUACCAGUCUAUAUACCGCCGUCGCCAGAUUACCUUGUGAAAGAAAUAAAGUAAACCUAAUAGGCCACCCCUAGCACGACAGGUCGAGGUGUAACUGAUGAGCGGGGAAAAGAUGGGCUACAUUUUCUAAAACAGAAAACACGAAUAAAUUAUGAAACUAGAAACUGAAGGCGGAUUUAGCAGUAUGCUAUGAACAAACUACUUAACUGAAGCUAAUGCAAUGAAGUGCGUACACACCGCCCGUCAUCCCUGUUAUAAACAACAAAAAUUUUAUAAAUCACCACACUCUCUUAAAGCAGGGCAAGUCGU
rnacentral:rRNA from 1 species